GCGCUCGUAGUGAAAAUCGGACUAAUCACGCUGGACUGUUAAUCCAGUAUUGCGGGUUCAAUACCCGUCGGGCGCGCCA
rnacentral:tRNA from 1 species